AGAGUUUGAUCAUGGCUCAGAUUGAACGCUGGCGGCAGGCUUAACACAUGCAAGUCGAACGGUAACAGGGAGAAAGCUUGCUUUCUUUGCUGACGAGUGGCGGACGGGUGAGUAAUGCUUGGGAAUCUGGCUUAUGGAGGGGGAUAACUACGGGAAACUGUAGCUAAUACCGCGUAAUAUCUUCGGAUUAAAGGGUGGGACCGUAAGGCCACCUGCCAUAAGAUGAGCCCAAGUGGGAUUAGGUAGUUGGUGGGGUAAAGGCCUACCAAGCCGACGAUCUCUAGCUGGUCCGAGAGGAUGACCAGCCACACUGGAACUGAGACACGGUCCAGACUCCUACGGGAGGCAGCAGUGGGGAAUAUUGCACAAUGGGGGGAACCCUGAUGCAGCCAUGCCGCGUGAAUGAAGAAGGCCUUCGGGUUGUAAAGUUCUUUCGGUGAUGAGGAAGGCGGUUGUUUUAAUAGAACAAUCGAUUGACGUUAGUCACAGAAGAAGCACCGGCUAACUCCGUGCCAGCAGCCGCGGUAAUACGGAGGGUGCGAGCGUUAAUCGGAAUGACUGGGCGUAAAGGGCACGCAGGCGGUGACUUAAGUGAGAUGUGAAAGCCCCGGGCUUAACCUGGGAAUUGCAUUUCAUACUGGGUUGCUAGAGUAUUUUAGGGAGGGGUAGAAUUCCACGUGUAGCGGUGAAAUGCGUAGAGAUGUGGAGGAAUACCGAAGGCGAAGGCAGCCCCUUGGGAAUAUACUGACGCUCAUGUGCGAAAGCGUGGGGAGCAAACAGGAUUAGAUACCCUGGUAGUCCACGCUGUAAACGCUGUCUGAUUUGGGGAUUGGGCUU
rnacentral:rRNA from 1 species